CUAAGGUAGUAGUAGUUAUGUUCUUGAAACUUAAAAAAUUUGGCGGUAUUUUAGUCUAUUCAGAGGAACCUGUCCUGUAAUUGAUAAUCCACGUUGGACCUUACUUAAAUUUGUUUAUCAGUUUGUAUACCGUCGUUAUAAGAAUAUUUUAUUAGAAUAAUAAUUUUCUAGAAUUUUUAUAAAAAUUUAUAUCAGAUCAAGGUGCAGCUUAUGUUUAAGAAGAGAUGGGUUACAAUAAAUUUAUUUAUACGAAUUGGAUUUUGAAAUUAAUNUAUGAAGGAGGAUUUGAAUGUAAAAUUAUAAAGAUUNAUAAUUUGAUUUUAGCUCUAAAAUAUGUACACAUCGCCCGUCACUCUUAUUAUUAAGGUAAGAUAAGUCGUAACAUAGUAGAUGUACUGGAAAGUGUAUCUAGAAUGCAAUUUAAAGCUUAAAUAGUAAAGCAUUUCAUUUACAUUGAAAAGAUUUUUGUGCAAAUCAUUAUAAGUUGAUUAAUUUUUAUUUAUUAAUGAAAUUAUUUUUUAAAUUUUGUUAUUAGAAAUAACUAUACAAAUUUUGGUUUGAGUAUUUUAUAAAGAAAAAAUAAUUUUUAUAAUAGUUAAUUAGUAUUGUGAAAGAAAAUUGAAAUAAUUUGAAAAA
rnacentral:rRNA from 1 species